rnacentral:misc_RNA from 1 species
GAUGAAGAACGUAGCGAAAUGCGAUAAGUAAUGUGAAUUGCAGAAUUCAGUGAAUCAUCGAAUCUUUGAACGCACCUUGCGCUCCUUGGUAUUCCUCGGAGCAUGCCUGUUUGAGUAUCAUGAAAUUAUCAAAAUAAAUCUUUCGUUCAUUCGAUUGAUUUUAUUUUGGACUUGGAGGUCUGCAGAUUCACGUCUGCUCCUCUUAAAUGUAUUAGCUGGAUCACUGUAGACUCGGUUCCACUCGGCGUGAUAAGUAUCACUCGCUGAGGACACUCUGUAAAAAGGGUGGCCGGGACUAUUGGAGAACCGCUUCUAAUAGUCUAUUAGCUUAGACAAUUACAUUUAUGAUCUGAUCUCAAAUCAGGUAGGACUACCCGCUGAACUUAAGCAUAUCAAUAAGCGGAGGA